CUACGGGGUGCUGCAGUGAGGAAUAUUGCACAAUGGGGGAAACCCUGAUGCAGCAACGCCGCGUGGAGGAUGACGCAUUUCGGUGUGUAAACUCCUUUUAUAUGUCAAGAAAAUGACGGUAGCAUAUGAAUAAGCACCGGCUAACUCCGUGCCAGCAGCCGCGGUAAUACGGAGGGUGCAAGCGUUACUCGGAAUCACUGGGCGUAAAGGACGCGUAGGCUGGUUGGUAAGUCAGGUGUGAAAUCCUACAGCUUAACUGUAGAACUGCACUUGAAACUAUCAACCUAGAGUAUGGGAGGGGGAGAUGGAAUUAGUGGUGUAGGGGUAAAAUCCGUAGAUAUCACUAGGAAUACCGAAAGCGAAGGCGAUCUCCUGGAACAUAACUGACGCUAAGGCGUGAAAGCGUGGGGAGCAAACAGGAUUAGAUACCCGAGUAGUC
rnacentral:rRNA from 1 species